ACGGAGGGGGCUAGCGUUGUUCGGAAUUACUGGGCGUAAAGCGUGCGUAGGCGGAUUAGCAAGUAUAGGGUGAAAUCCCAGGGCUCAACCCUGGAACUGCCUUAUAAACUGCUAGUCUUGAGUUCUGGAGAGGUAAGUGGAAUUCCUAGUGUAGAGGUGAAAUUCGUAGAUAUUAGGAGGAACACCAGAGGCGAAGGCGGCUUACUGGACAGAUACUGACGCUGAGGCACGAAAGUGUGGGGAGCAAACAGG
rnacentral:rRNA from 1 species